rnacentral:rRNA from 1 species
UACGUAGGGAGCAAGCGUUAUCCGGAAUUAUUGGGUGUAAAGGGUGCGUAGGCGGGAUGCCAAGUCAGCGGUAAAAAUGCGGUGCUCAACGCCGUCGAGCCGUUGAAACUGGCGUUCUUGAGUGGGCGAGAAGUAUGCGGAAUGCGUGGUGUAGCGGUGAAAUGCAUAGAUAUCACGCAGAACUCCGAUUGCGAAGGCAGCAUACCGGCGCCCUACUGACGCUGAGGCACGAAAGCGUGGGUAUCGAACAGG